UACGAAGGGGCUAGCGUUGCUCGGAAUGAGCUGGCGUAAGGGCGCGUAGGCGGCUUGUUUAGUCAGACGUAAAAUCCCUCGGCUUAACCGGGGAACUGCGUCUGAUACUGGAUGGCUUGAAUCCGGGAGAGGGAUGCGGAAUUCCAGGUGUAGCGGUGAAAUGCGUAGAUAUCUGGAGGAACACCGGUGGCGAAGGCGGCGA
rnacentral:rRNA from 1 species